rnacentral:rRNA from 1 species
UACGGGGGGAGCAAGCGUUGUUCGGAUUUACUGGGCGUAAAGGGCGCGUAGGCGGUCAGCACAAGUCAGUUGUGAAAUCUCCGAGCUUAACUCGUGAAAGGUCAACUGAUACUGUGCGACUAGAGUGCGGAAGGGGCAACUGGAAUUCUUGGUGUAGCGGUGAAAUGCGUAGAUAUCAAGAGGAACACCUGCGGCGAAGGCGGGUUGCUGGGCCGACACUGACGCUGAAGCGCGAAAGCCAGGGGAGCGAACGGG